UAGGUAAUCAAGUGACAGUCAGUGUUGCUUGGCCGGCUUAUUUCGUCAAUCACGUGCAUGAAGACGGACUUUUCCUCGGGGAAAUCGAGAAGUAUCCUAUUCAAUUUAAACAGAUACAAGACGACGGAGUCCUGAACAGUCAAAAAUUUGUACCGGACGAACUAGAUGACAAUCAGCAACCCCGAACCCGUGAUGCGAUCCCUAACGUUCACGGCAUCGUCAAGUUCGAGAUCUACUGGCAGCCGACAGUCGAUCCCACGGAACCUACUUCCGGCUUGCAAACCAUACCUUUAAAUGAAACCUUUUCUGAAAAGCGAGUAGUAGCUGAUGGUAACCAACUUCGUGUUUGGAUUCGGGCAACGGACAUCAUGGGCAAUACAAAGGCUGACAGCACCUUGGUCAAAAUAGAUGGCACGCCACCAAUACUACAAACGAAUCUUACUGGAAAAAAUUAUGGUUUGGAACGGAACAUUGAUAAUGGA